AUCAUAAAGAAGAGAAAAUACAUUUAAAGUAUUUAUUGAAAAAAAUCUGUAAGUUGGCCCACACAUUCAUACCCAUGUUAUUUAGGGGAUAAGCUGUAUAUGAAAUUCCAAAAUUGGCAAAUCCAUACAAACAAAGUAAAUGAUUGCUGGGGGGCUGAGCAAAUGGAGAGUGACUAUUAAUGGAUGCAGGAUUCGGGGGAUCAAUAAUAUAAGAAUGAACUCUGUGUUUGCAUACUUGCCACUGUAAGCCUACUUUUGCCCCAUGCUGUACAUUUUAAAAGGGUGAAUUUUAUGGUGUGUGAAUUAUAUCCCAAUUUUAAAAAUUUGAAAUCUAACUAGAGAUAUGUUAUUAAUAAUCUCUUUAUUACAAUGAUUUAGACAAUCUAGUAAUUCUGAAAGUCUUCA